rnacentral:rRNA from 1 species
GACGAACGCUGGCGGCGUGCUUAACACAUGCAAGUCGAACGGAAAGGCCCUGCUUUUGUGGGGUGCUCGAGUGGCGAACGGGUGAGUAACACGUGAGUAACCUGCCCGUGACUUUGGGAUAACGUCGGGAAACUGGGGCUAAUACCGGAUAGGAGCUCCUGCUGCACGGUGGGGGUUGGAAAGUUUCGGCGGUUGGGGAUGGACUCGCGGCUUAUCAGCUUGUUGGUGGGGUAGUGGCUUACCAAGGCUUUGACGGGUAGCCGGCCUGAGGGGGUGACCGGCCACAUUGGGACUGAGAUACGGCGCAGACUCCUACGGGAGGCAGCAGUGGGGAGUAUUGCACAGUGGGCGGAAGCCUGAUGCAGCGACGCCGCGUGCGGGAUGACGGCCUUCGGGUUGUAAACCGCUUUCGCCUGUGACGAAGCGUGAGUGACGGUAAUGGGUAAAGAAGCACCGGCUAACUACGUG